ensembl:piRNA 21ur-6853 ncRNA
UCUUUUGCGUUUUGGAGCCAU